ACGCAUUAACACAAUACAAAUACUAACCACUUCUAGUCUUCUCUUCUUCAAAUCUCGGAUUCUUACACUGUUCAAAUGUAGAAGAAGACCUUCGAAACUUGCUUCGUGCGAUUCCAGAUUCGUUUUUUGUUGUUGCUGAUUCCGGUGAACCCGAAUCGAAUCGAAUCCAAUGUCUUCGAGCUUCAGUUCCUCUCGCCCACAGUUAAUCUGCGUUUCCAGAUUAAGAUCUUCCUCCGUCAAAAAGCUGCCGGAACCCUUGCGCCGCGCCGUCGCCGACUGCCUCUCAGCGUCCCUCGCUUCCACCAAUGAACCUUCCAGAACUCUUCGGGACUAUCUGAAAGCCCCUGCAACCACAGACUUGGCUUAUAAUGAAAUUCUGGAACAUACUAUUGCAGAGAGGGAGCGCAGUCCUGCAGUAGUUACAAGGUGUGUGGCACUUUUGAAGCGGUAUCUCCUCAGGUACAAACCGAACGAGGAGACAUUACUUCAGAUAGACCGUUUUUGUUCAACCAUAAUUGCUGAAUGUGAUAGUAACCCAAAUCUACCAUGGUCACAAUCUUUGAAUCGACAAUAUGGUGCAUCAACAACAUCCACAAAUACUUCUCCUUUGCCUGUAUCUAGCGUUACUUCUGAGGCACUUGUGAAGUCACUGAGUUAUGUGCGUUCCCUAGUGGCUCAACACAUCCCCAAACGUCUUUUUCAACCUGCCUCGUUUGCUGGACCACCUUCUUCAUCAGGACAAUCACUGCCAACAUUGUCAUCUUUGCUUAGUAAAUCCUUCAAUUCCCAGCUAAGUCCUGCAAGUGUUCGGGAAACACAAAGUCCUGCAAGUGUUCCAGAAACAGUAGAGAAAGAUUCAAUUGCUCUAUCUGUUUCAAAGUUACCAAAAAUAAAAAAAGUUGAUGAAAAGGACGAAUUAGGGUUCAUUGCCCAUGAUGUUCUCAAAUGGCGCUGGCUUGAGGAACCACAGUCAUCAUCGAUAGGGACUGAAAAUGAUCGUGCUAUGAAUUCUCAAGACAUGACAGCACACAAUUUUUUAGAAGUAGGUGCCGCAGCUCUACUUGUAGGAGACAUAGAAUCUAAGAUGAAGGGGCAAUCAUGGAAAUUUUUUGGAACUGAUGAUAUGCCUUAUCUGGAUCAGCUAUUGCAGUCCUUUCCCGUAACACCAAUUACUAAUUCUGUAUCUGCUCGUCCCCACCUGAGAGCAAUAACAGCAUCUAAACGCACAAAAGCAGGCUCUCGUCAAAUUUGGCAUGUUUCUCCUUUGAUUACAUUCCGUCCCCGAGCUCGACAACUUUUCCAGUAUCGUCAUUACAGUGAGCAACAGCCUCUACGAUUGAACCCUGCUGAGGUACAUGAAGUUAUUGCUGCAGUUUGCUCAGAGGCUUCUUCCCCAAAUCCCAAUGUCAUGACUGUAUCAACUAGACUAAGCAAUAACAGCGGAAAACCAUCAGCGGAUGUGGCUGUGAGCGUCCUUAUUAAACUAGUUAUUGACAUGUAUGUUACAGAUUCUCGGACAGCUGCUCCUCUCACUCUUUCUAUGCUUGAGGAGAUGCUUAGUUCUUCUAAAACAGCUUGCAGGGUUCGUGCUUUUGAUUUAAUUCUAAACCUUGGGGUUCAUGCUCAUCUCCUAAAACCAAUGAUUGUUGGUGAUGCUUCCACAAUUGAAGAAGAAUAUUCUCAAGAAACCUAUUAUGACAAUGACACUCAAGUUAUGGCGCCAGGAAGCAGAAAAGAACAUUCUCAGAACAAAUUGGACGGAGUCUUGGCAAUUGAUAAUUUUAAGUCUUGGAUUUUAAAUAUUCUGUUUGAGAUUCUACUUCUUCUUGUUCAGAUUGAAGAAAAGGAGGAACCUGUCUGGGCAUCUGCACUCAGCUGUUUGCUUUAUUUUGUCUGUGAUAGAGGAAAGAUCUGGAGAAACCGUUUAAUAGGUCUUGACAUAAGGGUUAUGAAGGCACUUAUAAGAACCAGCAGGGAGAAUAAUUGGGCAGAGUUAGUUCAUUGUAAGCUUAUUUCCAUGUUAACAAACAUGUUUUAUGAAGUUCCUGAUGAAGUUGCCGAGCCUGUACCUAGCAAACCAAAGUUUCUUGUGGAUCAACUUGAUCUGAUUGGAGGAGUUCAAUUUAUUUUUAUUGAGUAUUCCCUUGCAAACUCAAGAGAAGAGAGGAAAAAUUUGUAUUCAGUGCUUUUUGAUUACAUUCUGCAUCAAAUAAAUGAAACAUGUAUAGCUACAGGAGUCAGUGAAUAUAGUGAUGAUGAGAUCCAACCUCUUGCGGCUCUGCUUGCUCAAACAAAUGCACCCGAGGCAUUUUAUAUUUCUGUUAAACUUGGGGUAGAAGGCAUUGGGGAGAUUUUAAGAAGAUCAAUUGCAUCUGCACUGUCCAGAUAUCCCAACAGUGCACGACUAAAUACGCUACUGGAAAUUGUAGCCGAGAAAUUUGAUGCUGUGAUAUGUUCUUUCACUCAUUUGGACAGAGAGUUCUCUCAUAUGAUUCAGAUAACCAAAUCUCACAAGUUUCUAGAAAAUAUGGAAGUUGUGGCUCUGAGAAAUGGCAUUGGUUUGCAGGCAAAACACUCAUGGACCACUUUACAUUCCCUUCUUCAUUCUGAAAGAAUUUCUUACCGUCAGAAUGGGUAUAUCUGGUUAGGUGAUCUGCUUAUUGCUGAAAUUAGUGGAGAAAGAGAUGGAAAUAUAUGGUCAAGUAUCACGUACUUCCAGCAGAAAAUUGCUCAAGCUGGAAUUCAGGAUUCUUCGGAUACAUCAGAUGUUCCUUUGCCCAUUUUACUUAUGUGUGGACUUUUGAAGUCGAAAUACAACUACAUUAGAUGGGGUUUUUUGUUUGUUCUUGAAAGGCUUCUUAUGAGAUGUAAAUUUUUGUUAGAUGAGCAUGAAAUGCAACAAUCAAGCAGCAGAGAUAUUGACCAUGGGAAGAAAGAUUGGCAUCUUGAGAAAGCCAAUGCAGUGGUUGACAUAAUGAGCAGUGCUUUGUCUUUGGUGUUUCAGAUAAAUGAAACAGACCACAUCAAUAUUCUGAAAAUGUGUGACAUACUAUUCUCUCAAUUGUGCCUAAGAGUUCCUCCUGCUGCAGCUCUGCCCUUUGGAGAUGAUGUGCAAUAUGGUAGAAAUUUAAAUCGUACAAGUGUAAGCAAAAAGUUUGACAGUGAUAAUCAUGUCCAUAGACAAGAUACUUUUCACUGGGAUGAACACAACAAGGAAGAAGCUAACAGAAGAUCAGGCUAUCAUAAUAACUACCAUCUGGAUCACGCGACUGCGUCAAUGGCAGCACUUCUCCAAGGACGAGCCAUUGUCCCAAUGCAAUUAAUUGCACGUGUUCCUGCUGCCUUGCUAUAUUGGCCACUAAUUCAGUUGGCUGGAGCAGCAACAGACGAUAUUGCAUUGGGUGUUGCUGUUGGAAGUAAAGGAAGAGGAAACCUGCCUGGUGCUACAUCUGAUAUUCGGGCCACACUUCUCCUACUUCUUAUUGGUAAAUGCACAGCAGAUCCUGUUGCUUUUCAAGAAGUUGGUCGGGAACAAUUUUUUAGGGAACUUUUGGAUGACACGGAUUCAAGAGUGGCAUAUUAUUCUUCCGCUUUUCUUCUGAAGCGAAUGAUGACCGAGAAGCCAGAGAAAUAUCAACAGAUGCUUCAGAAUCUUAUUGUCAAAGCUCAACAGAGUAACAACGAAAAACUUUUAGAGAAUCCAUACCUCCAAAUGUGUGGCAUACUUCAACUGGCAAAUGAUGUUGGAAUUGACUUGUAAUCUUCAUGGCAUGGCAUUCUCGGGGUAUAUUGUUUGGAGUUGGAGAAACAAAAUUGUGAAUGAUUUUCAGCAUGUCAGAGGAGAUUAUAAUUGUGGCCAGAGAAAGAGAGCCAGUGGAAUUGGGUGAGCUCUUAAUAUUGAUUGAUUAUUCUGAGAAGUAAUUAACAGAACUAGGAAACAUACUGCAUCCUGUUGAUCUCUUCAGUGAUAUUACUCUUUUGGAGUGCCAUGUUGUAUCUGCCAUCAUGCCUUCAUCUUCCACAUGUUUUUCAACUACUGAGAGAAGCCAGAGUUCUGUAAGGAAUGAUCUUGAAUGUCCCUGAUUUUGACAAAGCCGUUGAGUGUUGCUGAUCCAGGCCUGCCGUCAGUUGCUGGCUGGCGGGCAAUAUAUUCCAAGGAAAAUGUGUGCAGAACUUCAUUAGUUUGUUUCUUGUGUACAGGAAUUAGAUUUCCCACCGAGCCUUCUUCAGUUUUUCAUUCAUGAAGGCUGCCUCUAUGCUUGCUUUUUUUACUUGGCAUACAGGAACUUUCAUGGGAAAAGAAAAUUCAGUUUUGUACGUUGUCAAUAUAAUCACAGGUCCAAUGAAAUCCUUUGGUAGGUGCAUUAUGGUAUGUCUACUUUUAGAGGCAGCCAAGUUGCUCUCCUUGUUUUCUGUAAAUAUGUGAUUUUAUGUUUCUUUGCGAAAAUUGUAACAUGUAUUGAGAAAUUACUAUGUAGAUGAUCUAUUCCGGGUUUUAUGAUGGAAAUGGUUUUUGUA